rnacentral:rRNA from 1 species
UACGAAGGGGGCUAGCGUUGCUCGGAAUUACUGGGCGUAAAGGGCGCGUAGGCGGAUACUUAAGUUAGAGGUGAAAGCCCAGGGCUCAACCCUGGAACAGCCUUUAAUACUGGGUAUCUUGAGUUCGGGAGAGGUGAGUGGAACUCCGAGUGUAGAGGUGAAAUUCGUAGAUAUUCGGAAGAACACCAGUGGCGAAGGCGACUCACUGGCCCGAUACUGACGCUGAGGCGCGAAAGCGUGGGGAGCAAACAGG